rnacentral:rRNA from 1 species
AUACAGAGGUCUCAAGCGUUGCGCGGAAUUACUGGGCUUAAAGGGUGCGUAGGCGGACCAGCAAGUGUCUUGUGAAAGCCCACGGCUUAACCGUGGAAUUGCUCGGCAGACUGCUGGUCUUGAGGUCGGUAGGGGCUGCCGGAACAGUAGGUGGGGCGGUGAAAUGCGUAGAUAUCUACUGGAACACCAAAGGCGAAGGCAGGCAGCUGGGCCGAUUCUGACGCUGAGGCACGAAAGCGUGGGUAGCGAACGGGAUUAGAAACCCCAGUAGUCC